UGCAUAACUUGUACACAUAUGCUGCUUGCUAUCACAUUGAGCAUUGUCAAAUUGUUGUAACCCUUGAGAGGUUAUCGUCAUGCUUUCAUGAUCAAGAUCACAUACACUCCACAUAUUUUUCAUACUGACUUCUAUGUUGGAAGUUACGCAAAAACAUGCCUUUCAUCCACAUAAAUAUAUUGCAUUCCUAUGACAUGACUCCCCUCUAUUCAUCAUGCAAAAAGAUAUAGGCUAUGUAAAAAGAAGAAAAAGAGAAAAGAAAUAAAAUCCAUACUGAAAUGCAUGAGAGAAAAAAAAAGAGGGAGAAGAGAAUAGAAAGAAAAGAUGUAAAAGAAAGAAAAGAUAGCCCAUAUCCAAAAGAAAUAAAACAGGAAAGUCAUGCAAAAAGGAGUUCAAAUAAAAUUCCUCCAAAAAUUCCACACACAUGCAUCUCUCUAUCGGAUUGUAUGAC
rnacentral:lncRNA from 1 species